rnacentral:rRNA from 1 species
GGUCCUUGCAUAUGUUCCUUGGAACAGGACAUCAUAGAGGGUGAGAAUCCCGUUCAUGGUGGGGAAUCCAAUUCUUUGUAAAGUGCUUUCGAAGAGUCGAGUUGUUUGGGAAUGCAGCUCUAAGUGGGUGGUAAAUUCCAUCUAAAGCUAAAUAUUGGCGAGAGACCGAUAGCGAACAAGUACAGUGAUGGAAAGAUGAAAAGAACUCCGAAAGGAGAGUGAAAAAGGACGUGAAAUUGUUGAAAGGGAAGUGCUUGAGAUCAGUCUUAAGGUUUAGUGAUCAGUCUUCCUUUUGGUUGGUGCACUCACUAUUUCUUAGGCCAACAUCAGUUUUGGCGGCAGGAUAAUGACAUUGGAAUGUGGCUCUUUCGGGAGUGUUAUAGCCUUUGUUGAUACUGCCUGCUUAGACAGAGGACUGCGCUUUUGCUAGGAUGUUGGCAUAAUGAUCUU